rnacentral:rRNA from 1 species
UGCAGCGACGCCGCGUGGGGGAUGAAGGCCUUCGGGUUGUAAACCCCUUUCAGCAGGGAAGAAGCGAGAGUGACGGUACCUGCAGAAGAAGCGCCGGCUAACUACGUGCCAGCAGCCGCGGUAAUACGUAGGGCGCAAGCGUUGUCCGGAAUUAUUGGGCGUAAAGAGCUCGUAGGCGGUUUGUCGCGUCUGGUGUGAAAACUCAAGGCUCAACCUUGAGCUUGCACCGGGUACGGGCAGACUAGAGUGCGGUAGGGGUGACUGGAAUUCCUGGUGUAGCGGUGGAAUGCGCAGAUAUCAGGAGGAACACCGAUGGCGAAGGCAGGUCACUGGGCCGCAACUGACGCUGAGGAGCGAAAGCAUGGGGAGCGAACAGGAUUAGAUACCCUGGUAGUCCAUGCCGUAAACGUUGGGCACUAGGUGUGGGGCUCAUUCCACGAGUUCCGUGCCGCAGCAAACGCAUUAAGUGCCCCGCCUGGGGAGUACGGCCGCAAGGCUAAAACUCAAAGGAAUUGACGGGGGCCCGCACAAGCGGCGGAGCAUGCGGAUUAAUUCGAUGCAACGCGAAGAACCUUACCAAGGCUUGACAUACACCGGAAUCAUGCAGAGAUGUGUGCGUCUUCGG